CCAGGAUGCUGGGGAGACAAUUGGGCCGUGUCAUGGGGGGAUCCAGGGCGCAGGCCGGGCGGUGAGGGACUCAGUGGCAGCCGGCCAUACAGAAGGAAAAAUGAAUUUGCAUGGCCGGGAAAGCAUUUGGGGGGUGUGGAUGGUUCCCUGUUCCGUUUUUCAUCUGACGUCAUUUUUCUUCCUGGUCCAGGGGCCUCCUGGAUGCUUGGAGCAGAAAGAAGGCGCUGGUAGUUGGGUGGUUCCCCAGGAUCAGCCCCUUAGCUAACAGAAGAAGCAGGAUUAGGCUCACCAUCUGGAUCACUGAGAGAGACUGGAACAGUGAAACGUACAGCACCAGCUUGGGGAAGAGUUGAAGACAAGCCACAAAAAGAGAACUGAACAGUGCUGGUUCCAAACCCGACGUGUGUCAGAAGAGCCCCCAUGCUGUGCUGAAAGCUGACCCACGCACACAGCUUGGGGCAGCUAGGAGCUGCUGUCUCCUUGUACAAUGUCCUUUUACUCAGGACACUGGACACAUCUUUUGAAGCUAAGCAGUCCAAGCUGUGGUGUCAGCAUCGAGGCAGACACCUGACAAGGCCCCGCUGAGGUGUCUUUUCAGGAUACUCCUCUCAAGUCUCCUUGCAAUACAACUCUCCUAAGGCUGUUGCCUGCAAAUGGCCUGAAUUCCUCAUUUCUGCCUUCAAGUUACACAGGGACUCCUCACACCCAGCGGUGGAGAAACUUGUCCAGCAGUGAAUUUAGUGCAAAGCAGUGGGCAGCAGUCCACACGGCAGGACCGGCUCAGAGAGGCUGCGAGGGCAGGAGCCCAGAAGAGCGCAGGUUGCAGCCAGGGAUGAGUGGCCGCGUCCCGCUGGCAGAGAAAGCCCUGUCUGAAGGCCAUGCCCGGCUCCGGUACAGGGACACCUCCCUGCUCAUCUGGCAGCAGCAGCAGCAGAAGCUGGAAUCCGUGCCACCCGGGACAUACCUGAGCAGGAGCCGAAGCAUGUGGUACUCACAGUAUGGAAACGAGGCCAUCUUAGUCCGGGACAGAAACAAGCUUGAGGUCUCCCGGGACACGGGCCAGUCCAAGUUUUGCACAAUUAUGUAAUUCCAAGAUGAAAACCAGGGCUCUGAGGAAAACAGGCCUGUGUCUCAUUCCGCUGUUUUGUUGCUAUCUGGGCCUCAGUGGGAUAGUCUGAAUAGUGACCGUGAAGACCAAGCUGUGGCCUAAGAACCCGAGAUCCCAGAAAGGGCCCCCCGCGUCCUGCCUCGCAGCAUCCGUGUGAGGGUCCCGCCUCAGCUUCUGAGCGCCGCAGGCCCGGCCUGGCCCGGGGCACUGCUGGAUGCUGCUUAUCUGUCAAGCUUCCAAAUAAAUCAAGCGAGAGGGACA
rnacentral:lncRNA from 1 species